UCUUCGUAUCUUCUUCUUUCUUCUUUUUCUCUCUCUUUUCCGUUCUUCUCCUGUUCUUCGUUUUCUGUCGAAUUCGAGAGAUUAAACGAAGGUUUUGUGAUCGACAGGAGGUGUAGAAGAUUAUGAAGUAGUUGGUGGUGAUAGUGAUGGUGUCUGUUGUUGAUUCAGACUCGAAUGAGGAAAUGAAUUAAGAUUAGGUUUUUUUAAUAAAUUUCGUGAGUUUGUAGAUGGUGAAAUUGAGUAAUUAAGGAGAAGAUUAGAGAUGGGUUGUGGUUCAAUGGAAGUUCUGAAGCUGAUUCAGAGAAUAAUUGAAUAAUUUAGGGUUUCUUGAAGAUGAAAGUUAUUGAAGAAUUAUGUGGAUCUGAGAUGUAGAUCGAGUUUCUGAUGGAUUGAGAAUUAGUGGGUAGAUGUUUAAUUGAAGUUUAAAAGUUAAUUUGGUGAAUAUUUGAGAAUUAGGAUUUCUUUUCUUCCCCAAAACAGAAAUUAGGUCUUCGGUGGAAUUGAUUCAGCGUAUUAACAAUUCAAGUUAGAAGUGAUGUUGAUAGAAGAUGAAUUGUUGAGGUUGAAGUAUACUUGGGAUUGGGUCUGUGGUUGCUAUCUCUGUUGGACGUGAAGGUUGAGUUGAUUAGAUUGAAGUAAUAAGUGUUUAACGGGUGAAUUAAGGUAGUAGUGGUGAGGUUGUUGCUGCUGUGAUGCUGUAAAUGCAAGAAGGAAACUUGGAUUGGUGUUGAGCUGGUAGAUGAGUGGAAAAUUAUAGUUGUUUUGAUAUACAAGAAGAGUAUGUUAGCUGAGUUGGGAUUUAGCUGAAGUGUAAUGGUUGUGUUAUGAGUUGAAUACAGAACCUGUUAGAUGGAUUUAAGAUACUUAGUGGUGGUUCUGUAGUUGGGUUGAUAUUGCAGUUGUGUUGGUUGUUGCUGGUCAAGAAUGAGGCUUUUGUCAUGGCUAGAAAUGAUAAGGGGUGAUGAUAGCUUGGAAAGAUACAAAGUUUUGGAAUGGUGAACUAAACUGAAUUUGAAUUAAGUGUGUGAGUAUAUGCUGAGUGUUGUUCAGCUGAGAAUUGUUGGUGAUUUGAGAUGACAGUGUAAAGGAAUGUUAGGUUGGUUGUAGAUGGAGUAGACUUGGUGUUGGGGGAUUUGAAGUACAGGGAGAAGACUGUUGUGUAGUGGUGUAGAUGGAAUGAGAUAGAUAGAAGUGCAAGUUAAUAUAUAUGAAUGUGGAAUGAGCUAGAGCUGAACAUCAUUGAGAUCAAUGUUGAAAGAAUGGAGCAGCUACUGCUUUCGCAGAUAGGCUAAGCUUGUAUUUGAAAUUCAAUUAUGAAGUUCAGUUAAAUUUAAUAUGAUGUAUUGCAAUGAGAGUUAGAUGUUGUUAGAUUAAAUUGAAUUGGUAAUGGAGUAGAAGUUGUAAUUAAGUUAAGGUUGUACAA